CUGCUGACAACGCUCUUGAGUCAUGGUUAAACAAAUUAAACCACGACCAUGCGUUGCCAUAAAAUUAAUAGCAUCUGCACUUAUGUGCUCUGCUGCGAUAAUUA
rnacentral:antisense_RNA from 1 species